CCGGGCCGUGCGGGUGGCGGGGGGCUCCCGCGGCGUGGAGCUCUGCCGCAAACGGGAGCUGCUGGACACCUUGCUGGGCUUCGUGCAGGGGGAGCCCCGGGAUCGCCUGGCGUCCCCCGUGCGCCAGGAAGCGUUUGUGGCCGUGGGGCACUUGAGCAAACUGAAGCCAUCGCUGAGCCGGGAG